CGGACGGGUGAGUAACACGUGGAUAACCUACCUAUAAGACUGGGAUAACUUCGGGAAACCGGAGCUAAUACCGGANAAUAUAUUGAACCGCAUGGUUCAAUAGUGAAAGACGGUUUUGCUGUCACUUAUAGAUGGAUCCGCGCCGCAUUAGCUAGUUGGUAAGGUAACGGCUUACCAAGGCAACGAUGCGUAGCCGACCUGAGAGGGUGAUCGGCCACACUGGAACUGAGACACGGUCCAGACUCCUACGGGAGGCAGCAGGC
rnacentral:rRNA from 1 species